CUUGGUGGCUCUAGAGAGUUGGGUACACCUGUUCCCAUCCCGAACACAGAAGUUAAGCAACUCUUCGCUGAUGAUACUCAUGUUAUCAAUAUGGGAAAAGUAGGACGCCGCCAAGA
rnacentral:rRNA from 1 species